rnacentral:rRNA from 1 species
GGCGGCGUGCUUAACACAUGCAAGUCGAACGAAGCUGUUAAAAGGAAGUCUUCGGAUGGAAUUUUAACAGACUUAGUGGCGGACGGGUGAGUAACGCGUGGAUAACCUGCCUUAUACAGGGGGAUAACGGAGAGAAAUUUCCGCUAAGACCGCAUAAGACCACAGCACCGCAUGGUGCAGGGGUAAAAUAUUAAUAGGUAUAAGAUGGAUCCGCGUCCGAUUAGCUGGUUGGUGAGGUAGAGGCUCACCAAGGCGACGAUCGGUAGCCGGCCUGAGAGGGUGAACGGCCACAUUGGGACUGAGACACGGCCCAAACUCCUACGGGAGGCAGCAGUGGGGAAUAUUGGACAACGGGGGAAACCCUGAUCCAGCGACGCCGCGUGAGUGAAGAAGUAUUUCGGUAUGUAAAGCUCUAUCAGCAGGGAAGAAAAUGACGUACCUGACUAAGAGCCCC